ACGGCCAUACCAUGCUGAAUAUACCGGUUCCUUCCCCAUCACCGAAGUCAAGCAUCAUUGGGCGCGUGCAGCUACUGGAGUGGGUGACCACCUGGGAACACUGCACCGUU